rnacentral:rRNA from 1 species
GCCCUUAGAGUUUGAUCCUGGCUCAGAAUGAACGCUGGCGGCGUGCCUAACACAUGCAAGUCGAGCGAGAAAGGGGACUUCGGUCCCUGAGUAGAGCGGCGCACGGGUGAGUAACGCGUGGAUAAUCUCCCCAUUGAUUCGGGAUAACAGUGGGAAACCGCUGCUAAUACCGGAUAAGCUCAUGCAUUUUGGAGAUGUGUGGGGAAAGGCGGCCUCUGAUUCAAGCUGCCGUCGAUGGAUGAGUCCGCGUCCCAUUAGCUUGUUGGUGGGGUAAAGGCCUACCAAGGCGACGAUGGGUAGCCGGCCUGAGAGGGUGGCCGGCCACACUGGGACUGGAACACGGCCCAGACUCCUACGGAAAACAGCAGUGAAAAAUAUUACACAAUGAGCGAAAGCCUGACGCAGCAACGCCGCGUGAGGGAAGAAGGCCCUCGGGUCGUAAACCUCUGUCAGGAGGGAAGAAUGUCAUGGAUUCGAAUAGGGUCUGUGUUUGACGGUACCUCCAAAGGAAGCACCGGCUAACUCCGUGCCAGCAGCCGCGGUAAU